GAUGAACGCUGGCGGCGUGCCUAAUACAUGCCAGUCGAGCGAACAGAUGAGGAGCUUGCUCCUCUGACGUUAGCGGCGGACGGGUGAGUAACACGUGGAUAACCUACCUAUAAGACUGGGAUAACUUCGGGAAACCGGAGCUAAUACCGGAUAAUAUAUUGAACCGCAUGGUUCAAUAGUGAAAGACGGUUUUGCUGUCACUUAUAGAUGGAUCCGCGCCGCAUUAGCUAGUUGGUAAGGUAACGGCUUACCAAGUCAACGAUGCGUAGCCGACCUGAGAGGGUGAUCGGCCACACUGGAACUGAGACACGGUCCAGACUCCUACGGGAGGCAGCAGUAGGGAAUCUUCCGCAAUGGGCGAAAGCUUGACGGAGCAACGCCGCGUGAGUGAUGAAGGUCUUCGGAUCGUAAAACUCUGUUAUUAGGGAAGAACAAAUGUGUAAGUAACUAUGCACGUCUUGACGGUACCUAAUCAGAAAGCCACGGCUAACUACGUG
rnacentral:rRNA from 1 species